rnacentral:rRNA from 1 species
CCUACGGGCGGCUGCAGUAGGGAAUUUUCCACAAUGGGCGAAAGCCUGAUGGAGCAACGCCGCGUGAACGAAGAAGGCCUUCGGGUUGUAAAGUUCUGUUGUCAGGGACGAAACCGUACCGUUCGAAGAGCGCGGUACCUUGACGGUACCUGACGAGGAAGCCACGGCUAACUACGUGCCAGCAGCCGCGGUAAUACGUAGGUGGCAAGCGUUGUCCGGAAUUAUUGGGCGUAAAGCGCGCGCAGGCGGCCGGGUAAGUCUGGUGUGAAAGCCCGGGGCUCAACCCCGGUGUGCAUUGGAAACUGCCUGGCUUGAGUGCAGGAGAGGGAAGCGGUAUUCCACGUGUAGCGGUGAAAUGCGUAGAGAUGUGGAGGAACACCAGUGGCGAAGGCGGCUUUCUGGCCUGUAACUGACGCUGAGGCGCGAAAGCGUGGGGAGCAAACAGGAUUAGAUACCCCAGUAGUC